rnacentral:misc_RNA from 1 species
UUUCCGUAGGUGAACCUGCGGAAGGAUCAUUAAUGAGUUGUCAUGGGGUUCGAUGCUGGCAGCCAGUUUUUGGAUGCAUGUGCUUGCCCUAACAAUCAUCUUCUUCCAAACACCUGUGAACAUUUUUGAGGGAGUCCUGAGUUGGUUGCCGCUCUUGGGUGAUUUUCUCACAUUCCCUUAAAUCAUUAUACGCUAUUAACAAUGUUGAACGUGCUCUGUGCCGCAAGGCCAUUAAUAUAAUACAACUUUUAACAACGGAUCUCUUGGCUCUC